rnacentral:rRNA from 1 species
UACAGAGGUCCCAAGCGUUGUCCGGAUUUACUGGGCGUAAAGAGCGCGCAGGCGGUCGUUCAAGUCGAGUGUGAAAGCCCCCGGCUCAACUGGGGAGGGUCACUCGAUACUGAUCGACUCGAAGGCAGGAGAGGGUAGUGGAAUUCCCGGUGUAGUGGUGAAAUGCGUAGAUAUCGGGAGGAACACCAGUGGCGAAGGCGACUACCUGGCCUGUUCUUGACGCUGAGGCGCGAAAGCUAGGGGAGCAAACGGG